rnacentral:rRNA from 1 species
AUACGGAGGGUGCAAGCGUUACUCGGAAUCACUGGGCGUAAAGCGCGCGCAGGCGGUCUUUUAAGUUGGAUGUGAAAGCCUACGGCUCAACCGUAGAACUGCAUCCAAAACUAUUAGACUAGAGUGUGGGAGAGGAAGAUGGAAUUAGUUGUGUAGGGGUAAAAUCCGUAGAGAUAACUAAGAAUAUCAAAAGCGAAGGCAAUCUUCUGGAACACUACUGACGCUGAGGCGCGAAAGCGUGGGGAGCAAACAGGAUUAGAAACCCUAGUAGUCC